rnacentral:lncRNA from 13 species
CUAAAUAUUAUGGCAUGGUAAUCCUAUAGCUAAGUAUUAUGGUAUGGUAUGGUUAUCCUAUAGCUAAGUAUUAUAGUAUGGUAUGGUAAUCAUAUAGCUAAGUAUUAUGGUAUGGUAUGGUUAUCCUACAGCUAAAUAUUAUGGUAUGGUAAUAAUAUAUCUAAGUAUUAUGGUAUGGUAAUCAUAUAGCUAAAUAUUAUAGUAUGGUAAUAAUAUAUCUAAGUAUUAGGGUAUGGUAAUAAUAUAUCUAAGUAUUAUGGUAUGGUAAUCAUAUUGCUAAGUAUUAUGGGAUGGUAAUCAUAUAGCUAAGUAUUAUGGGAUGGUAAUCCUAUAGCUAAGUAUUAUGGGAUGGUAAUCCUAUAGCUAAGUAUUAUGGGAUGGUAAUCCUAUAGCUAAGUAUUAUGGUAUGUUACUGGGCAUGAAUAAAAUAGCGUGACCCAGAUCCAAACUGCUUUUUCUCAGUAGCCACAGGCAAUUAACUGUAACAUUGAGACAUGGCUCUCUGUGCAUAUUUCCAUCAACUGGGUUUGUUCAGAAGCAACUUUCUCACACGCAACAAGAGCUUUCACACAUGUUACAUACACACGUUACACACACACAUCAUUCUACACACACGCACAGAGGCCUUUACACACACAUCAUGUUACACACACACACAUACACGCAAAUGUUGCACACACACAAGAGCUUUUGCACACACAUAUUUGUUACACACAUAACAAAUGGAUAAGUGGGGGGAUGAGUACAGGGCAGAGUAUGUGUUUGUUCGCCCCAUACACUUCCUCACUGAGCCAUGGGAUGGGGUCAGCUGCUCUUUGUAGAAAGAAGCCCCUCUGCUUCUCUCAGAGAAGCCUUUGUCCCCCUCUACCUCCCAUAGAGAAACAGACUGGGACAGUGUGGUGUGUGUCUGAAUGAGAUAAUUGUGUCUCCCUUGGGCCUCCCAUGUUCGACACACAUCUACACUCCCCUCUUACACUCCCCUCUACACUAAAGUCUACACAUACACCCACUCACACUUGUCUCAACAAGCCCACUUGCUAUCUCUCUGUCUUUCAUCCUAUUCCUCUUGUAAAUGUGCAAUUACACACACACACACUGUCCCAUUUUCUCAUACGCUCAGACACACACACACACACACACACACACACACACACACACACACACACACGGUUUCAUUUAUUUAUUCACAAAGGCAGCAUUUUCAUCUACUGACCUCUUUCAUUAAAGCUUCCCUUAUCAGCUCCACAUUAAUGUCAACGAAGAGUAACAGGGCUAUUAGAGCCAUAAAGUCUGGUAUAUUAACACAUUUUUACAGUAAACCCACUGAACUGGAAUAAGUGUAAACCUGUUGGGAUACACACUGCAAUUGUAUAAUACAGAAAAGAUCUCCAAUAUGCAGUAAUAUAGAACAGACUCCUCACCACAAUGAAGUCAGUGUUACAGUUAGUUACACACACGGUAGACAUACAGUACACACACACACACACACUUCUCACUGCGUGCCAACUCACCACAGUGGCUCUGCAUUCCAUAAGAACCUCCCUAACUUCUCACACACACUGCUAUUCAGAGUAUUGUUGAGGCAUGCACAUAUACCACCAUAUGUAUGCAGACACACACACACACAACACACACACUCACGGCUCCCCCUUUUCCUCAAUGACCUCCCUUUGGGCAGAAUGCCCAGGCCCCCUUACUGAUCCCCC